UGGGUCGACCAGGCGGCCGCGUUGGACGGUGCGUCAGUAUCCGCUCCACCGAGGAACGUCCGGGCUCCGCAGGGCAGGGUGGUGGGUAACGCCCACUCGGGGUGACCCGCAGGCCAGUGCCACAGAAAAGAGACCGCCGGCUUCAGGUGCUCCGGUGCCCGGGCCGGUAAGGGUGAAAAGGUGGUGUAAGAGACCACCAGCACGCCGGGUGACCGGCGUGGCUCGGUAAACCCCACCCGGAGCAAGGCCAGACAGUGCGCGUGAUCAGGGCUGCCCGCCCGAGUGCACGGGUAGGCCGCUGGAGGGCGUCGGCAACGGCGCUCGUAGAUGGAUGGUCGCCACUCGCGGGACGGCGACGUCCCGCGAUGACAGAACCCGGCGUACCGGUCGACCCAUCCC
rnacentral:RNase_P_RNA from 2 species